GCUGCUUUUUCAUCUUCGUUUACUGAAUUUUAUGGCGCUGCAGAAUGGGACCCUAAUACGUGAAUCGUGAACCUGCUCUUUCACUGCAAUUCGUGCUCUACUUUUCCUCAGUAAAUCGACAUCGAUCUCUGUUUUGAAUUGGAUCGGGGUGCGUUUUUUGUGAUGCGAGGUGGUUGUGGAGACCACGGAAACGUUGAUGACUGACACAUUUCUUUCCCACGGAAACAAAAGCACGAUCAAACACACCCUUCAUUCUUGCAUUCUAUGCCUCAACUUUAUAGCUCUUUCAAGUUGGAUUCCUUGACACCAAACACUUGACAAGGUGUUUAUAACCCGUAGUUCCCCAGUUCUUUUGUUGCAAUGCCUCCUAAAGCCAAACGUUCAAAAGAGCUACCAUCCCGUGGCAUAUCAAAUUUUAUGCCCCAUGCUUCAUCUCAAGGACAUUCCACCUCUGUGGAGCCACCACUGCAGCUGUCAGAGUUGGCACAACCCGUGCGCCUACUAUUACCCUUAAUCCAUCAUCAGUUCCUACUGCUCAAAAUCUGCUUUCAUUACCAAAUCCACAGUUACAUACAAUGCCAUGUAAAGACAAAAGAUCAAAUAGGAGAGUAUGUCGUGGCAUAUCAAAUUUGAUGCCUCAUGCGUCAUCUCAAGGACAUUCCACACGAGUGGAGCCACCUCUAAAACCUUCAACAGAGGCACAGCCUCGAGCUCUUGUUAUCACCUUUAUUCCUCCGUCAAUUCCUACAGCUCAAAAUCUUGUUUCAGCAUCAGAUCCACUAUUGCGUAGUAUAUCAUGGAUCUUUGUUCUUCCAUGUUUGAAUCAAUUUCUAAUGUUUUAUUUUGGUUCAACUCAAUUGCACGCUCACAAUUCGGGAUUGAUAUGUUGUGUAAUACAAUACAACUGAAUAUAUGCAUGGAUUAAUACUUG